rnacentral:rRNA from 1 species
UACAGAGGGUGCAAACGUUGUUCGGAAUUACUGGGCGUAAAGCGCGUGUAGGCUGCUCAGAAAGUUGGAUGUGAAAGCCCUGGGCUUAACCUAGGAAGUGCAUUCAAAACUACUGAGCUGGAGUCCUGGAGAGGAAGGCGGAAUUCUCGGUGUAGAGGUGAAAUUCGUAGAUAUCGAGAGGAACACCGGUGGCGAAGGCGGCCUUCUGGACAGUGACUGACGCUGAGACGCGAAAGCGUGGGGAGCAAACAGG